rnacentral:snRNA from 1 species
GUGCUCGCUUCUGUAGCGCAUAUACUAAAAUUGGAAUGAUACAGAGAAGAUUAGCAUGGCCCCUGCAUGAGGAUGACACACAAAUUCAUGAAGCAUUCCAUAUUUUU